rnacentral:rRNA from 1 species
GAUCCUGGCUUAGAUUGAACGCUGGCGGCAGGCUUAACACAUGCAAGUCGAGCGGGGAAAAGUAGCUUGCUACUUUACCUAGCGGCGGACGGGUGAGUAAUGCUUAGGAAUCUGCCUAUUAGUGGGGGACAACAUCUCGAAAGGGAUGCUAAUACCGCAUACGUCCUACGGGAGAAAGCAGGGGACCUUCGGGCCUUGCGCUAAUAGAUGAGCCUAAGUCGGAUUAGCUAGUUGGUGGGGUAAAGGCCUACCAAGGCGACGAUCUGUAGCGGGUCUGAGAGGAUGAUCCGCCACACUGGGACUGAGACACGGCCCAGACUCCUACGGGAGGCAGCAGUGGGGAAUAUUGGACAAUGGGGGGAACCCUGAUCCAGCCAUGCCGCGUGUGUGAAGAAAAGGCCUUUUGGUUGUAAAGCACUUUAAGCGAGGAGGAGGCUACCGAGAUUAAUACUCUUGGAUAGUGGACGUUACUCGCAGAAUAAGCACCGGCUAACUCUGUGCCAGCCGCAGC